rnacentral:lncRNA from 1 species
AAUGCAUCUGCUUUUCUCAGGUGGAUUUUGUCUCCAGAACCUUGACUGAACUUGUUAAUUAGUUCUAACAGUUUUCAUUGGUAAAGAGUGUAACAUUCUCUAUGAAGAGGACUUGUCCUCUGCCAACAGAGGCGGCCCUUCCUUGUUCCUUCCUGGUUUGGAUUCCUGUGGUUUCUUUUUCCUCUCAGAUUCCUCUGUCUGGGGUGUUCAGCACUACAUGGAACAGACAUUGCUGCAGGGUGGGCAGCCUCACCUUGGUCAUGAUCUUAAGGAAAAGCUUUCCAUUUUUCGGCCACUACAUACAACAUUUGAUGUGGUAGAUCCUGUGUGACCUUUAUUGUCCUGUGGUGCAUUCCUUUUUACCUAAUUUUUGUAGUCCAUCCAUCAUGAAAGAGUGUUGAUUUUUUUCAGAAUCAUCGUUCUACACCUAAUGAGAUAAUAUGAUUUUAUCUUUCAUUCUGUCAGUACAGUUGACCACAUUGAAUUAUUUUUGUGCUUUGAAACAUUUUUGCAACU